GUUCUGUCUCUCUCUGUCCCAAAAAAAUAAAUAAACGUUGAAAAAAAAAAAAAAGAAUGAUCUCAUUUCCAUUACCUCCUCCCUCUUACAUGUUAGUGUUGCUUGUUAUUUUGGACCCACCUGCUUCUAAUACGCCUACGUUGGAUCACUACUGUCAUUUUGGUUUUAUGCAGUUCUUGUCUAGAUUUGCCCAGGUUUACCAAAUUGUUCACCUUUGUUUCUGGCGUACCAUUCUUUUUUUUUUUUCUUUUUUUUCUAGUUACCAGCCCUUUUCCUUGAAACAUAUCUUUUAGUAGGACUUCCAGGGAAGUUAUUGAGUCACCUGCUUUCUCCACGAAUAUAAAAUGGUCUUACUGUACUCUCAUCCUUGAAUGAUGAUCUCUUUGGGGAUAGAAUCUAGAUCUAAUGUUGUUUUACCCCCAACACACUUCUUGCUGUUUCUCUGUUGUGGAGACGUUUGCUGUCAGUCUACAUGUAGAUUUCCUUUGUAGGUAAUCUGGCUUUUCACUCCAGACUUAAGAUUUUCUCUUUGCUUUUGGCUUCCUGCAGUCUUACCGUGCUGUGUUUAGGUGUGAAUUUCUUUUUAUUUACCUAGUUCAAUAUUCAUUGCAUAUCCCAAAUCUUAGGAUUCAUGUUUUGUUUUGUUUUGAUCAAAUCUGCAAACCUUUCUGUCAUUGUCUAUAUAAGUCCUGUGUCCCCUAAUUCUCUCUAGUCUCUCCUUCUGGUACCUGUAUUAGGUGUAUGAUGUGCCCCCCCCCCCUUUCGAGGCAACAUACCCUGAACCUUUCUUUCAGACUUUCCUUCACUUUGUCUCUCUGUGAUGAUUCCUGGGCAAUUUCCUCAGAUUCAUUUGUAGUUUUUUUCUUCAGCUGUGGCUACUCUGCUGUGUAACCCUUCCACUGAGUUUCAUUGCAGUGACAGUAUACGCCAUUUCCAGAGGUUCUAUUUAGUUCUCUUUCAAAUCCACCUUUUAAAAAAUACUGUUAUUUUCUCAUGGUUCCAAAUGUUCUUUUAUGCCUUUAAUAAUUUUAAACUUAAUGUAGAGUCUGUCUGAUAGUUGUCUCUCCUGAGGUUCUCAGGACUGUCGUGUCUACUACCUCUCGGUUAUGGUGGAUGGUAUCCACAUAUGUUUUGUGGUUUGAUGUUGGGUCUGCAUUUUUAUCUUUACUUACCAGUUUUGGGCUUCCUGGUUCCUGGAUCCUACAGGUAGGGUAAUUCCCAGCCCCAAAUUUGUAUCCAGGUGGGCUGUGGUCUCAAAUUCUCAGUGAAGACUUCUUUCUCCACUUUCAAAUCAUGCCAAGACAGUCAAAUUUUCUUGUCUUCCUGUGCCAUUAGGGAGAUUUUUUUUCCAGUGAAUUAUUUCUAAAAUGACUAACCCUUUUGAGGGCUCUGGCUUACUGUGGGGACCUCAGUAGCCCCUCCCUGCUUUGGACAGGCCCAAACCACAGUGUCCUUCCCAUUGGGAGCUGAAACUCCAGGCUUUCAAAGCCAGCAAACUGCCCAACGCCAGCUCCGUCCCCACUUACUUUCUCACCACGCUAACUGCCAUUUCCCUUUGGCUUCUGGCCCUGGGGGCCUAUCUCAUGACCUCAUUUCACUGGGUGUUCCUUACAUUUUGGCAAGUGUUUAGAGAUGGGUUGUAGUGGGAGGAUUAUUAAAGUUAUUUCAUCCGCCAUAUUGCCAGAAAUGGAACUCACGUCCAUUUCAGAUGUUGAAUGUCUUCCAUGUCAGGUGUAUUUUUUCUUAGAGUAUGGUGGCAUCUAAGCCUCCUGAAUAAUUUGUCUUCUGAAUAAUCUCUUUUUAACUUUUAUUUUAAGUUGAAGUAUAGGUGAACUCGUGAAUAAUCUCAUGGGUGAGGAGGCAUUGGAAUCAUCGCAAAUGAGGCAAACAUAAGGUCAGUGCGGGUAUCCAUUCCAAUCACCUGGGAGCUUUAAAAAAAUUACUGAUGCUUGGCUCCGCCCAGAAGAUUCUGAUUUAAUUGGUUGGAGGACCAUCUGGGCAGUGGCCUUUUUUAUAACUUCCCAAGUGAUUCUAAUGGGCAACCAAGGCUGAGCACGAUUAUUUAAAACACACUGAUGAAAACAAACAAACCAUAAUGAUCCCUGGGCUCCACCCAAGAAUGUCUAAUUUAUUUUGCCUGGGGAGGGCCCCAGGCAUAUUUUUCAGACAUUUCCCUGACGAUUGUAGUGAGGAACCAGUGAUUUUCCCGGGCACAUGCACUCGGAGAAGUUCCGAUAAUGUCGGAGCUGAACGCAUAGGAAGUAAUCUAGCCUAACAUAUGCAUGUGCACAGCUAGCCUUCUGACUCCCAGGGACCUUUUAAUCAUAGAGAUUCCUGGAGGUUGUAAGGCCAGAGAGUCUUUCAUUCCCCUGAGGACUGUGAUGGGCAACCAAGUUUGGAAACCGCUCAGCCAACCCUUCUUGUUUUACAAAAGAGGAGCCCAUCCCUGGAGAAUGUUUUCCUCUCAAAGUGGCAGAGCCGAUUCAGAGGAAAGCUGACCCCUACCUUCCAGUCUAAUGUCCGUCUCCUCCAUUUCCAAACUUAAAGCCCGCUGCUGCUUUUAGACCAUCUUGGCCAUUUUAAAGAGGCCGAUGUUUGAAUUUGUGUGCAGUGACUUCAGGAACGUGGGGUUUUCUGUUUUGCUUUGUGUGUGGAUGGCACAGACGAGGGGAAAUAAAACAGCCUGCCACCUUGCACAUAGGGUCAUACUAGUAGCUUGGUGACCUGGCACCAAUAAGCCACCAUCCAUCUCAAUUUCCCCAUCUGUAAAUAGGGGGUUAUGGUGGUUUUAAAAUAUUACCACAAAUUCUUUAAUUCUUCAAGAAGUGGGACCUAGUUCCCAGCCCCCUGAGCAUCGGCUAUACUUAGUAACUGGUUUCUAAUGAACAGAAUGUGAAGGAAAUGAUGGUGCGUGAAUUCCAAGGCUAGGUCACAAACAGCAUCAUGGCUUCUACCUUGUUCCCUCUUGUGGAUCACUUCUCUGGGGGAAGCCAGCUGCCAUAUCAUGAGGACGAUCAAGGAACCCAGUGGAGGGGCCCAUGUAGAGAAGAACUGAGGUUUGCUGUCGGCAACGUGAUCUCACCAGGAUUGGUUCCAUUUCACUGCCAAGCCAAGUGCCUCUCUGAUUAAAGAGUAUGUUCACUUUAUCUCCCUUAGUCUCCCACAAGCCUUACCCUUAAGAACUAGCAUGGAAGAUUUCGCACCGAAAAAACAAACCAUAUUUUUACCAGAAAAUAUUUAGUAAAAUGAGUUUUUAUUGAUGAGAACUUCACCAAGUAUAAAUUUCAUGCCUAAAAGGAAUGGGCCUUUUGUAUUUCCCCUCAAUAAAUAAAUAGCUUCUUUCCUCAAGAAUUA